rnacentral:lncRNA from 1 species
GGACAACACCUGCUCCCAGGCAAAAGGAGUUUGUUAAGACAUUGCAUUAAAUAGCAAGAUGGCAGAUGAACAUCAGGAAAGAACAUUAGGAACAUCCACAGUGUUCCAUCCAGGAACCUUCACCAUGGAAACCCUUGUGCUCAUGGGCCUGGUCUCAAGACACAUUCAGCUGUUGGGGAUCAGAGGCCGCACUCAUCGUAGCAGAGAGGCAGGACCAACUGGGAGAGGGUCAUUCUGUGACACCUACUGCAUCACCGGGCUGUGUGAAGUGACUCAGCUGCCAGAACUCACACAAUAUCAUUCUACACCAAAACCUCACGGGAAAAAUCCUCCCCGACCCUCAGACUUAAACAGCAGCACUGGCUCCUCCCCAGAUCUCCAGCUCCCUGACCCUCAAACUCCAACUGCAGCACCAGCUCCACCUGGGUCUCCAGCUCCAUGAUCCUCAAACUACAACAGCAGCACCAGCUCCCCCGUGGAUCUCCAGCUCAAUGACUCUCAGACUUGGGAGGUGGCACUGGCUCCCAACCAAGGCUCCAGCUCCACAAACCUCAAACUAGAACAGCAGCACCAGCUACUCCCUGGGUCUCCAGCUCCCUCAAACUUCAACUAUAGCACUGGCUCUUCCCUGGGGCCACCAGCUCCACAACCCUCAACUUACACGGUGGUAGCACCAGCUCCUCCCCAGGUCUCCAGCUCCACGACCAUCAAACUUGAACUGCAACACCAGCUCCUCUUCAGCCUCCAGCUCCACAAUCCUCCAACAACAACAGCAACACUGGCUCCUCCCUGAAUCUCCAGCUCAACAACUCACAGACUUGAGAGGCAGCACCGGCACCUCCCCAAGGCUCCAGCUCCAUGACCCUCAGAUUUGAACAGUGGUAGCACCAGCUCCUGUCCAGGUCUCCAGCUUCACUAUCCUUAAACUAGAACAGCAGCACCGCCGCCUCCCUGGGUUUCCAGCUCCAUGACUCUAAGACAUGAAUGAAAGAACCGGGUCACCCCAGCACUCCAACUCCAAGACCCACAGAUUUGAACGGCAGCACUGGCUCUUCCCGGGAUCUCCAGCUCCACGGCCCUCAAACUAGAUCAGCAGCACCGGCUCCUCUCUGGUUCUCCAGCUCCACAAUCCUCACACAUGAACAAUAGUACCAGCUCCUCCUUGGGUCUCCAGCUUCACUACCCUCAGACUAGAACAGCAACACUGGUUCCUCCGUGGACCUCCAGCUCUACAAUCCUCAGAAAUGAACAGCAGCAGCACCGCCUCCUACCUUUGUCUCCACUUCCACAACCCUCAAACUACAACAGCAGUACCGGCCUCUCCCCAGGUCUCCACAUACAUGACCCUCAAAAUAGAAUGGCAUCAUAGGCUCCCUCCUGGAUCUCCAGCUCCCAAACCCUCAAACUUCAAUUGACACACCAGAUCCUCCCCACAGCUAAAUAGCAGCACGGGCUCUUCCCCAAAGCUCCAGAUCCACGAACCUCUGACUUAAGUGGCGGUAGCACCGGCUCCUCCCUAGGUCUCCAGUUCCACGACCCUCAAACUAUACACCAGCACCAGCUCCUCCCCAGGUCUACUGCUCCACCACCCUCACACUAGACACCAACACUACCUCCUCCCCGCUCUCCAGCUACACGACCCUCAGACUUGAACAGCAGCAGUGGCUCCUCCCUAGAUUUCCAGCUCCAUGACCCUCAACCUGCAACCGCAGCACGAGCUCUUCCCUGUACCUCAAGCCCCAUGACCCUCUGACUUGAACAACAGCAACACCAGCCACCCCCAGGUCUCCAGCUCCACAACCCUCAGCCUUAAGCAACAGCAGCACCAGCUCCUCCCUGGGUCUCCAGAUUCACACCCCUCAGAUUAGAACAGCACCCCUCCUCUCUGAGUCUCCAGCUCCAUGACCCUCAAACUACAACAGCAACACGGGCUCCUCCCUGCAUCUCCAGCUCAACAACUCUCAGACUUGAGAGGCGGCACCGGCAACUCCCCAAGGCUCCGGCUCCAUGACCCUCAGAUUUGAAUAAUGGUAGCACCAUCUGCUAUCCAGGUCUCCAGCUUCAUGAUCCUUAAACUAGAACAGCAGCACCACUGCCUCCCUGGAUUUCCAGCUCCACGACCCUAAGACAUGAAUGGCAGAACUAGCUCCCCACCAGUUUUCCAGCUCCAGGACCCACAGAUUUAAAGGACAGCACCAGCUCUUCCCGGGAUCUCCAGCUCCACUACCCUCAAACUAGAACAGCAGCACUGGCUCCUCCCUGGGUCUCCAGCUCCCAAACCAUCAAACUUCAACUGACACACAGGAACCUCCCCACAGUUAAACAGCAGCACGGGCUGUUCCCCAAAACUCCAGAUCCACAACCUUCUGACUUAAAUGGCAGUAGCACUGGCUCCUCCCUAGGUCUCCAGUUCCAUGACCCUCAAACUACACAGCAGUACCAGCUCCUCCCCAGGUGUACAGCUCCACCACCCUCACACUAGACACCAAGACUACCUCCUCCCCGCUCUCUAGCUACACGACCCUCAGACUUGAACAGCAGCAGCGGAUCCUCCCUGUACCUCAAGCCCCAUGACCUCGGAUUUCAACAACAACAACACCAGCUCCUGCCUAGGGCUCCAGCUCCAGGACCCACAGAUUUAAACGACGGCACCGGCUCUCCCCAGGAUCUCCAGCGCCACUACCCUUAAACUAGAACAGCAGCACCGCCUCCUCUCUGGUUCUUCAGUUCCACAACACUCAGGCAUGAACAGCAGCACCGGCUCUUCCUUGGGUCUCCAGCUUCACUACCCUCAGACUAGAACAGCAACACUUGUUCCUCCCUGGAUCUCCAGCUCAAUGACUCCCAGACUUGAAAGGCAGCACCAACUCCUCCAUGGAUCUCCAGCUCCAUGACACUCAAAACAACAUGGCUCCUCCCUGGGUCUGCAGCUCCAGGACCCUCGAACUACAACAACAUUGUUCCUCCCUGGGUCUGCGGCUCCAUGAUCCUCAAACUCGAACAAGACCUCUCCUCCCUGGGUCUCCAGCUUCCGGACCCUCAAAUUACAACAACAUUGCUCCUGCCUGGGUCUGCAGCUCCACGACCCUCAAAUAAGAACAAGACCUCUCCUCCCUGGGUCUCCAGCUUCCUGACCCUCGAACUACAACAACAUUGCUCCUGCCUGGGUCUGUAGCUCGACAACCCUCAAACUAGAACAAGACCUCUCCUCCCUGGGUCUCCAGCUUCCGGACCCUCGAAUUACAACAACAAUGCUCCUGCCUGGGUCUGCAGCUCCAUUACCCUCAAAUAACAACAAGACCUCUCCUCCCUGGGUCGCCAGCUUCCGGACUCGAACUACAACACUGCUCCUCCCUGGAUCUGUAGCUCGACGACCCUUAGCUAGAACAAGACCUCUUUUCCCUGGUUUGCCAGCUUCCGGACCCUCAAACUAAAACAACAUUGCUCCUGCCUGGGUCUGCAGCUCCACGACCCUCAAUCUCAAACAAGACCUCUCCUCCCUGCGUCGUCAGCUUCUGGACCCUCAAAUUACAACAACAUUGCUCCUGCCUGGGUCUGCAGCUCCAUGACCCUCAAAUAACAACAAGACCUCUCCUCCCUGGGUCGCCAGCUUCCUGACCCUUGAAUUACAACAACAUUGCACCUGCCUGGGCCUGUAGCUCGAUGACCCUCGAACUAGAACAAGAACUCUCCUCCCUGAGUCGCCAGCUUCCUGACCCUCGAACUACAACAGCAUUGCUCCUCCAUGGGUCUGCAGCUCCACAACCCUGAAACUAGAACAAGACCUCUCCUCCCUGGGUCUGCAGCUCCACCACCCUCACCCUAGAACAGCAGCACCAGCUCCUUCCUGGACCUCCAGCUCAAUGACUCUCAGACUUCAAAGGCAGCACCAGCUCCACCCCCAGGCUCCAGCUCCAACACCCUCAGAUUUGAGCAGCGACAACACCAGCUCCUUUCUGGGUCUUCUGUUUCACGAUCCUUAAAUUAGAACAGCAGCACCAUCUUCUCCCUGGGUCUCCAGCUCCAUGAGACUCAAGCUAGAAUAGCAGCACCAGCUCCUCUUGGAUCUUCAGCUCCACGACCCUAAGACAUCAGUGGUAGCACCGGCUCCUCCCCUGGGCUCCAGCUCCAGGACCCUCAGACUUGAACAAAAACACCAGCUCCUCCCCAGGCCUCCAGCUCCUUGACCCUCAUAAACAAUCCCUUCUUAUGAAAUGUAGCAGUCAGGAAAACUGUAGAGGAAG